rnacentral:rRNA from 1 species
UAGGGAAUCUUCGGCAAUGGGGGCAACCCUGACCGAGCAACGCCGCGUGAGUGAAGAAGGUUUUCGGAUCGUAAAGCUCUGUUGUAAGAGAAGAACGUGUGUGAGAGUGGAAAGUUCACACAGUGACGGUAACUUACCAGAAAGGGACGGCUAACUACGUGCCAGCAGCCGCGGUAAUACGUAGGUCCCGAGCGUUGUCCGGAUUUAUUGGGCGUAAAGCGAGCGCAGGCGGUUUAAUAAGUCUGAAGUUAAAGGCAGUGGCUUAACCAUUGUUCGCUUUGGAAACUGUUAAACUUGAGUGCAGAAGGGGAGAGUGGGAUUCCAUGUGUAGCGGUGAAAUGCGUAGAUAUAUGGAGGAACACCGGUGGCGAAAGCGGCUCUCUGGUCUGUAACUGACGCUGAGGCUCGAAAGCGUGGGGAGCAAACAGG